AUGCCAAAGGAGAAAGCACCAGGGCCGGAUGGGUAUAAUAUCACUUUCUACAGCAAGUGUUGGCAGGUAAUCAAGAAGGACCUAAUGGCUGUCUUCAACUGCCUUCAUACACGCAUCACCUUGGGGUUCGACAAAAUCAAUGGGGCACACCUUAUUUUGCUCCCUAAACGAUCUGGGGCUGCGGAACCAAACGAUUCCCGUCCGAUCAGCCUCGUUCACAGCCUUGCGAAAAUCAUUUCGAAGGUCCUUGCCAGAAGGUUGGCUCUGGUUCUACCUUCGAUCAUGGGGGAAAACCAAGGCACAUUUUUGAAAGGUCGUUCAUUGCAUGUGAAUUACAAGAUGGUACGAGAAUCAGCCAAGUUUCUAAAGAAAAGGAGAUGCAAAAGUAUUCUGCUGAAAUUAGACAUUGCAAAGGCCUUCGACACCGUCACCUGGCAGUUCUUGCUUGAAUUGCUUAAAAAUAUCGGCUUCGGACCUAAUUGGUGUGAUUGGAUUGCCACGAUUCUCAGGAUGGCAUCCACCAGGAUACUUCUAAAUGGCAUCCCCGGUACUAGCUUCUAUCAUGGUGUGGUUUAA
rnacentral:rRNA from 1 species